GAUGAACGCUGGCGGCGUGCUUAACACAUGCAAGUCGAACGAAGCAUUUAAGACAGAUUUUUUCGGAAUGAAGUUUUUAUUGACUGAGUGGCGGACGGGUGAGUAACGCGUGGGUAACCUGCCUCACACAGGGGGAUAGCAGUUGGAACGACUGGUAAUACCGCAUAAGCGCACAGCUUCGCAUGAAGCGGUGUGAAAAACUACCGGUGGUGUGAGAUGGACCCGCGUCUGAUUAGGUAGUUGGUGAGGUAACGGCCCACCAAGCCGACGAUCAGUAGCCGACCUGAGAGGGUGACCGGCCACAUUGGGACUGAGACACGGCCCAGACUCCUACGGGAGGCAGCAGUGGGGGAAUAUUGGCACAAUGGAGGAAACUCUGAUGCAGCGACGCCGCGUGAGUGAAGAAGUAUUUCGGUAUGUAAAGCUCUAUCAGCAGGGAAGACAGUGACGGUACCUGACUAAGAAGCUCCGGCUAAAAUACGUGCCAAGC
rnacentral:rRNA from 1 species